GUCUAUGGCCAUACCACCCUGAACGCGCCCUAUCUCAUCUGAUCUUGGAAGCUAAGUAGGGUCGGGCCUGGUUAGUACUUGGAUGGGAAAAUAGCUACAUAAAUA
rnacentral:rRNA from 1 species